GACGAACGCUGGCGGCGUGCCUAACACAUGCAAGUCGAACGGAACUCACUGGAACAAGAUUUCGGUCAAGUAAAAGUGACGUUUAGUGGCGGACGGGUGAGUAACGCGUGAGCAACCUGCCCUUCAGAGGGGGACAACAGUUGGAAACGACUGCUAAUACCGCAUGAAAUGUAUUUAAGGCAUCUUGAAUACAUCAAAGAUUUAUCGCUGAAGGAUGGGCUCGCGUCUGAUUAGCUAGUUGGUGAGGUAACGGCUCACCAAGGCGACGAUCAGUAACCGGACUGAGGGGUUGAACGGCCACAUUGGGACUGAGAUACGGCCCAGACUCCUACGGGAGGCAGCAGUGGGGAAUAUUGGGCAAUGGGGGCAACCCUGACCCAGCAACGCCGCGUGAAGGAAGAAGGCUUUCGGGUUGUAAACUUCUUUGACAAGGGACGAAACAAAUGACGGUACCUUGAAAACGAGCCACGGCUAACUACGUGCCAGCAGCCGCCGUAA
rnacentral:rRNA from 1 species